AUCAAAGGUAAUCCUUUUAUUGAUAUUCAAUUUAUAUUAAGAAAAUAAAAUUUUAACAAUCUUAAUUUAAAUUAAAAUAAAUAUUUAACUAAUUAUAAAGUAUUACAAAAGAUAUUUGAAAUAAAAUGAAAAGUAAAAGAAAAAAAGGAGAUAAAACGUACCUUUUGUAUUAUGGUUACACAAGAUUUAUAAGAAAAAACGUUCAAACCCCGAAAUUUGAUGAUCUAUCCGCUAUUACUUAAUGAGAAUUUCUUACUUACUGUUGCAAGAGUAAGUAUAAAAUAACGGAUUGAAGUGAAAUGCUAAUCGUAUCAAAGAAUAGCUGGUUUUUAAAGAAAAAAGUAUAAGCUUUAGCUCACUAAAAAAUUUUAAACUUUUAGUAAACUUUAAAUAGUGAUGCUCAGAAAUAAGAAGAAAAGUCCUUAUUUCAAAAAGGAAACAACCAAAAAUAUAGGAAAAGUUUUAAAGGAAAGAUUAAAAGUAGUCCUAAAAGCGGUCACCAUUAAUGAUAGCGUUAUAGCUCCUAAAAACUUCCUUCUAAUUUAAUAACUAACUAAACCUUAUUUUAAGUAUUUAAUAAACAUAAUGUUUAAACAAGUAAAAUCUUAUUAAUAGCGUAAAUAAACAAAAACCUAGACUAGUUUAAUUAACAAGAAACUAAUAAAGUUUAAUCUACUCAGAUAAUAAUUUAAAGGACAAAAAAGAGAAAAGGAACUCGGCAAAUCAAUGAAAAUGACUGUUUAACAAAAACAUAGCUCCCUGAAAAUUAAUAUAGGGAGUCAUGCCUGCCCAAUGGAUUUAUUCUUAAUGGCCGCGGUAUCUUGACCGUGCGAAGGUAGCGAAAUCAUUUGUCUCUUAAUUAGGGACCUGUAUGAAUGGUAAUACAUUUUCAGACUGUCUCUUCUCUUUACCCUCUAAACUUCUUACACCGUGAAGAAGCGUUGAUAUUAUAGAAAGACGAGAAGACCCUGUCGAGCUUCAACUUCUAUAAAAUAUAUUAAAUUCAUAAUUUUUAAUGAAGUUUUGGUUGGGGCAACCAAGGAGAAUAAAUAUACUCCUGAAAAUAAAAUUGAUUCUAAAUCAUUUUUAAAAUAUAAUGAACCAUAAUAAUGGUAAACAGAUAAAGUUACCGCAGGGAUAACAGCGUUAUCCUCUUUAAGAGUUCAUAUUGACAAGAGGGAUUGCGACCUCGAUGUUGGAUUGGGGAAUCCCUAGGGUGCAACAGCUCUAACAGGUAGGACUGUUCGUCCUUUAAUACCCCACAUGAUCUGAGUUCAGACCGACAAUAAGUCAGGUCAGCUUCUAUCUUCUAAACAUUUACUUCCUCAGUACGAAAGGACCAGGUAAAGAAGUUUUCAAUAAUUUUUAUUAAAAAACAAUAUUAUUUAAGUUGAAGCUGAAUAUUCUAGCAU
rnacentral:rRNA from 1 species